GAUGAACGUUGGCGGUGUGCCUAAUACAUGCAAGUCGAACGGUGGUUAUUUUGUAGUAAUACGAAGUGAUCAUAGUGGCGAACGGGUGAGUAACGCGUUGGUGACCUGCCCCGAAGCGAGGGAUAACAGUUCGAAAGAACUGCUAAUACCUCAUGUGAUCACCGGUUUUAGAAUCUGGUGAUUAAAGGUGAAAAUCACUUCGGGAGGGGCCUGCGUCCCAUCAGCUAGUUGGUAAGGUAAUGGCUUACCAAGGCGAUGACGGGUAGGGGACCUGAGAGGGUGGCCCCCCACAAUGGAACUGAAACACGGUCCAUACACCUACGGGUGGCAGCAGUAGGGAAUAUUGCAAAUGGGCGAAAGCCUGAUGUAGCAACGCCGCGUGUGCGAUGAAGGUCUUCGGAUUGUAAAGCACUUUUUGGAGGGAUGAGGAAGGACAGUACCUCCAGAAUAAGCCUCGGCUAACUACGUG
rnacentral:rRNA from 1 species